UACAGGGGGGGCAAGCGUUGUUCGGAAUUACUGGGCGUAAAGGGCUCGUAGGCGGCCGGCUAAGUCCGACGUGAAAUCCCCAGGCUUAACCUGGGAACUGCGUCGGAUACUGGCGGGCUUGAAUCCGGGAGAGGGAUGCGGAAUCCCAGGUGUAGCGGUGAAAUGCGUAGAUAUCUGGAGGAACACCGGUGGCGAAGGCGGUUCUCUGGGCAUUACCUGACGCUGAGGAGCGAAAGUGUGGGGAGCGAACAGG
rnacentral:rRNA from 1 species